AUUCACACGCCUCUUGCAGUCGCGUGUGGGCCUCUACCCACCUACCAAACCACCGUUAUGCACGCCAGAUUUGUUACUGCUAUUUUAACUCCUAAUAAUACUAAUCAUCGCCAUUGUCCAUGAUAAUAAGAUUAGUGAAAGAAAAGAAAAGAAAAGAAAAAGAAAGAAAAAGAAAGAACGAACCAAGAAGAACAUUAAUAAAAUAAAAGUAUUUUGAUUUUGAAAGAGAGAGAAGAAACAAGACAGCAAGCAUAGGGAAUCGUGAAGAAUGGCACCUUGUUGGUGGUGGUGUUGUUCUCGUCGUCUGUAUUGGGUUGGGUUGGCUUUAGGGCUUUGAAUGCCAUUUGGGGUUCCGCUCUCAGGCAAUCGAGCUCCAAAGCUGACCCCUUUCUCUCACUUCUCACUCACACCUUCUUCUUCUUCUUCUCUCUCUCCAGAACUACAAUGGUAGAAGACAUGUGUUUGUUCUACAAGGAAAUUCUCGUUAUGAAGCCUCCAAAGAGAUCACCGAUGUUGUUAAGG
rnacentral:sRNA from 1 species